rnacentral:rRNA from 1 species
UUAGGAAUCUUGCGCAAUGGGCGAAAGCCUGACGCAGCAACGCCGCGUGCGGGAUGAAGGCCUUCGGGUUGUAAACCGCUUUCAGUGGGGACGAAAUUGACGGUACCCACAGAAGAAGCUCCGGCUAACUACGUG